AGAGUUUGAUCCUGGCUCAGGAUGAACGCUAGCGGCAGGCUUAAUACAUGCAAGUCGAGGGGCAGCAUGGUGUAGCAAUACACUGAUGGCGACCGGCAAACGGGUGCGGAACACGUACAGAACCUUCCUUCGAGCGGGGAAUAGCCCAGAGAAAUUUGGAUUAAUACCCCAUAGUACAUUGAGGCGGCAUCGUUUUAAUGUUAAAGAUUUAUCACUUGGAAGAUGGCUGUGCGGCUGAUUAGGUAGUUGGCGGGGUAACGGCCCACCAAGCCUGCGAUCAGUAACUGGUGUGAGAGCACGACCAGUCACACGGGCACUGAGACACGGGCCCGACUCCUACGGGAGGCAGCAGUAAGGAAUAUUGGUCAAUGGACGAAAGUCUGAACCAGCCAUGCCGCGUGGAGGAUGAAGGUCCUCUGGAUUGUAAACUUCUUUUAUAUGGGACGAAAAAAGGGCUUUCUAGCUCGUCUGACGGUACCAUAUGAAUAAGCACCGGCUAACUCCGUG
rnacentral:rRNA from 1 species